ensembl:lncRNA
CGGUACAGAGUCAAUGUGGAGACUAUAUACAGGGGUACCGGUACAGAGUCAAUGUGGAGGCUAUAUACAGGGGGUACCGGUACAGAGUCAAUGUGGAGACUAUAUAGAGGGGGUACCGGUACAGAGUCAAUGUGGAGACUAUAUACAGGGGGUACCGGUACAGAGUCAAUGUGGAGGCUAUAUACAGGGGUUACUGGUACAGAGUCAAUGUGGAGGCUAUAUACAGGGGGUACCGGUACAGAGUCAAUGUGGAGGCUAUAUACAGGGGGUACCGGUACAGAGUCAAUGUGGAGACUAUAUACAGGGGGGUACUGAUACAGAGUCAAUGUGGAGGCUAUAUACAGGGGGUACCGGUACAGAGUCAAUGUGGAGGCUAUAUACAGGGGGUACCGGUACAGAGUCAAUGUGGAGGCUAUAUACAGGGUAUUACGGUACAGAGUCAAUGUGGAGGCUAUAUACAGGGGGUACCGGUACAGAGUCAAUGUGGAGGCUAUAUACAGGGUAUUACGGUACAGAGUCAAUGUGGAGGCUAUAUACAGGGGGUACCGGUACAGAGUCAAUG